UUUUAUUUUAUUUCUCCUCUUUGUCUUUCAAUCUAUCAAGAAUAUUUGCUCUUCCAAUCAAGGUAAGAAAGACAGAGUGUAGAGACAUAUACAUACGCAAGGUCAAACUUUCUCACCUCCAUUCACCAAACGCCUUUCUUCCUCAAGCGCCUCCGACUUUUCGGCAUGACUAGCGAUGAAGUGGAUAACUUUUUGGCCCAUUUAAGUCGCAAGCGUGCUAGAGACGAAGAAGAAAAUAAGAAGAAAAUGACAAUUAUUCUUAGUACCAUUACAUGUAUCAUUGCCAUUGUUGGAGCAUGGUAUAAUGAAAAUUAUUUGGUUAAAGAGCCCUCACGUGAUUGGGAUGAAGAAAGGUGAUGUCGCUUGAAUCGUUUGUAUAAUGGGAAGGAAGUUGAUUGUAUUGAACAACUACGAGUUAGUAAGAAAGCAUUUCAAAGUUUGUGCACUAUUUUGCAUGAACAGGGUGGAUUGGCUCGGACAAGAAAUGUUUCAAUUGAAGAAUCCGUUGCUAUCUUUUUAAAUAUACUUGCUCAUAACUUGAAGUUUAGGAUCAUUGGUUUUGACUACUAUCGUUCUAAGGAAACAAUUAGCUGGCAAUUUAAUAGUGUGUUGCGUGCAAUGAUGAGAAUUAGUCAAGAAUGUUUGAAACUUCAGCCAUGUGAUAUUGGUGGUUCAGAAAGAGACAAGUGGAAGUGGUUUGAGAAUUGUAUUGGAGCACUUGAUGGAACUCACAUUCCAGUAACAGUGUUUGCUGAGGAUAGACCAAGAUAUCGAAAUAGAAAGGGCGAUAUUUCCACCAAUGUUUUAGGAGUUUGUGAUCUAGAUCUAAAAUUCAUCUAUGUACUAUCUGGAUGGGAUGCUUCUGAUUCUCGUGUUCUGAGAGAUGCUUUGG